rnacentral:rRNA from 1 species
AUUGAACGCUGGCGGCAGGCUUAACACAUGCAAGUCGAGCGGAGAUGAGGUGCUUGCACCUUAUCUUAGCGGCGGACGGGUGAGUAAUGCUUAGGAAUCUGCCUAUUAGUGGGGGACAACAUUCCGAAAGGAAUGCUAAUACCGCAUACGCCCUACGGGGGAAAGCAGGGGAUCUUCGGACCUUGCGCUAAUAGAUGAGCCUAAGUCGGAUUAGCUAGUUGGUGGGGUAAAGGCCUACCAAGGCGACGAUCUGUAGCGGGUCUGAGAGGAUGAGCCGCCACACUGGGACUGGGGCACGGCCCAGACUCCUACGGGAGGCAGCAGUGGGGAAUAUUGGACAAUGGGCGGAAGCCUGAUCCAGCCAUGCCGCGUGUGUGAAGAAGGCCUUUUGGUUGUAAAGCACUUUAAGCGAGGAGGAGGCUACCUGGAUUAAUACUCUAGGAUAGUGGACGUUACUCGCAGAAUAAGCACCGGCUAACUCUGUGCCAGCCGCCGCCGUAA